rnacentral:rRNA from 1 species
UACGUAGGGUGCGAGCGUUAAUCGGAAUUACUGGGCGUAAAGCAUGCGCAGGCGGUUUUGUAAGCCGGAUGUGAAAUCCCCGGGCUUAACCUGGGAAUGGCAUUUGGGACUGCAAGGCUGGAGUGCGGCAGAGGAGACUGGAAUUCCUGGUGUAGCAGUGAAAUGCGUAGAUAUCAGGAGGAACACCGAUGGCGAAGGCAGGUCUCUGGGCUGACACUGACGCUCAUGCACGAAAGCGUGGGGAGCAAACAGG